GCGCGUAGGCGGCCUGGUCAGUCGGUUGUGAAAGCCCGGGGCUCAACCUCGGAACUGCACCCGAUACGGCCAGGCUAGAGGCCGGAAGAGGAGGGUGGAAUACCCAGUGUAGAGGUGAAAUUCGUAGAUAUUGGGUGGAACACCGGUGGCGAAAGCGGCUCUCUGGUCCGGACCUGACGCUGAGGCGCGAAAGCGUGGGGAGCAAACA
rnacentral:rRNA from 1 species